UUGGUAUUGGUUUUGCCCUUCGAUAGAAACACACCGAAGUGUAUCCCUAGGGAAGUUAUAUGGCGGCUUUAUUUCAGGGUGCCUUCGUACAUGAGGUAUUCCUCAGCGGUACUCCAGCGGGUUAAAUUAUACGAAAGCAACAGGAUGUCUACACUGGACAACCAAGCACUCCUGGGAGUGAGUCCGACGGACUGUUGCCAGGCAUCCACCACAGUUGGUAGUUCCACGGGUCAACAUCGAUGCAGCCGAAGCCGACAUCUUUGUUUUGUUUUGGGUGUGGUAAUGAUCCUUCCGCAGGUUCACCUACGGAAA
rnacentral:misc_RNA from 1 species